GCUGCUGUGAUUUGCUUUAUCACAGUCACGGGUAUUAUUAGGGGUCCAACAAAAGAGUUUUUUUCUCAACAUUUUCUUGAUACAUGUCAACCUUGGUUCAUAAACGACACUUCACUGGGUUCUUGAACAGAGCGUGAUGGAGUGGAUUCAUGCCUAUUAAACCGUUCGGUCUAGAGUUCAGUCUGAUGAUUGACAAUUUAACUUGUUCCAAACGUUUUAAAAAAAUCCGUGUAGAGUCACUGAUGGGGAAGAGAAAGUGGGAUAAAGUACGCACCAUUACAUUUCUUGGAAACCAGGAGCUCAUUGCAAGCAAGAUCUUCUGAGCCACCGUGUAAGAACUGAUGAAAAAAGUGGCGAAGCGAGGGAGCAACUUAGUGAAAGCUAACCCCAGACUCGAAUGUGAUUUUUUUUUUUUUUCGUUUUAUUCAUUAUCUUAGACAAGGGCGGCAAAUUUGAGAUAGAUAUGUUUUAUUUUACGUUGGAAGGAUACUGCCACAGAGCAUCCUUUUCUUCUUGAAUGAUUUUGCCUCAAUUCAUUGGCAUUGCUUUUAGGCAUGAACAUAAACCCGCCCUUUGAAACCUUUAUAUUCAAUGUCUUUAAAGAAAGAGUUCCUUAAAGUAUCGUCAGACUGGUAUAUAUUCGAUAACAAAUAAAGAAAAGAGAAAAGCUA